UUGAACGCUGGCGGCAUGCUUUACACAUGCAAGUCGAACGGCAGCACGAAAGAGCUUGCUCUUUUGGUGGCGAGUGGCGAACGGGUGAGUAAUGCAUCGGAACGUACCGAGUAAUGGGGGAUAACUGUCCGAAAGGAUAGCUAAUACCGCAUACGCUUUGAGAAGGAAAGUGGGGGCUCUUCGGACCUCACGUUAUUCGAGCGGCCGAUGUCUGAUUAGCUAGUUGGUGGGGUAAAGGCCUACCAAGGCGACGAUCAGUAGCGGGUCUGAGAGGAUGAUCCGCCACACGGGGACUGAGACACGGCCCAGACUCCUACGGGAGGCAGCAGUGGGGAAUUUUGGACAAAGGGCGCAAGCCUGAUCCAGCCAUGCCGCGUGUCUGAAGAAGGCCUUCGGGUUGUAAAGGACUUUUGUUAGGGAAGAAAAGGAUAGUGUUAAUACCAUUAUCUGCUGACGGUACCUAAAGAAUAAGCACCGGCUAACUACGUG
rnacentral:rRNA from 1 species